ACGAUAACGGCGUCGAGCGGCGGACGGGUGAGUAAUGCCUAGGAAAUUGCCCUGAUGUGGGGGAUAACCAUUGGAAACGAUGGCUAAUACCGCAUGAUGCCUACGGGCCAAAGAGGGGGGACCUUCGGGCCUCUCGCGUCAGGAUAUGCCUAGGUGGGAUUAGCUAGUUGGUGAGGUAAGGGCUCACCAAGGCGACGAUCCCUAGCUGGUCUGAGAGGAUGAUCAGCCACACUGGAACUGAG
rnacentral:rRNA from 1 species